rnacentral:misc_RNA from 1 species
GUUCUGGUGCUAUUCCUGGAUGUAGAAACAACCCAUACCAGAGCUAUGGGGCUGUUGACCCAUACAGCAGACGAAACCUUAAUGUCAAGAAUACUACGUUUGACCCUUAUAGGAGUACUGUGGUUGAAGCCUCCCCCGUUGGAACUAUGAGGCCGUCUUCAUUUACAUACAAUACUGCUGGAGGUCCUCAAAGUGUGCGGGCUCCCAUUGCACCCUCAUAUGGUCCUGGUGCUUGCCCUCCUUAUGGUUCACAUUAUGGAACUAAUCCUCGGCCAAUGUCUUCAUUCUCAACUCCCUCACCAAGACCCUCGAAUGGAAAUUUUCCAGGUGUUGUGCAGCAUCCUGAGGGAUAUAACCCUCCUUGUACAAGGUACUACUAAUUGGUGUGAAGUUUUUCUUUGCCAUUCUUCAGAGCUUCAGAAGAUAGAGAUUGCACUUAAAUCUCUCAAAAAUUAGAAAGCUUGAAGGACAAGUUGCAUCUCUGGAUUGUGUAAAUAUGGCCUUAAUGACACUUUUUUUUUUGUUUGUUG